rnacentral:rRNA from 1 species
GACGAACGCUGGCGGCGUGCUUAACACAUGCAAGUCGAACGGAAAGGCCCUGCUUUUGUGGGGUGCUCGAGUGGCGAACGGGUGAGUAACACGUGAGUAACCUGCCCUUGACUUUGGGAUAACUUCAGGAAACUGGGGCUAAUACCGGAUAGGAGCUCCUGCUGCAUGGUGGGGGUUGGUAAGUUUCGGCGGUUGGGGAUGGACUCGCGGCUUAUCAGCUUGUUGGUGGGGUAGUGGCUUACCAAGGCUUUGACGGGUAGCCGGCCUGAGAGGGUGACCGGCCACAUUGGGACUGAGAUACGGCCCAGACUCCAACGGGAGGCAGCAGAGGGGAAUAUUGCACAAUGGGCGGAAGCCUGAUGCAGCAACGCAGCGUGCGGGAUGACGGCCUUCGGGUUGUAAACCGCUUUCGCCUGUGACGAAGCGUGAGUGACGGUAAUGGGUAAAGAAGCACCGGCUAACUACGUG